rnacentral:rRNA from 1 species
AGAGUUUGAUCAUGGCUCAGGACGAACGCUGGCGGCGUGCUUAACACAUGCAAGUCGCGGGGGGUGAGCAAUCACUCACCGGCGAACGGGUGCGUAACACGUGAGCGACCUGCCCACUUGUGGGGUAUAGCCGGCCCAACGGCCGGGUAAUCCCGCAUACGCUUCUCUGGCUGCAUGGCUGGAGGAGGAAAGCCGUAAGGCGCAAGUGGAGGGGCUCGCGGCCUAUCAGCUAGUUGGCGGGGUAACGGCCCACCAAGGCGACGACGGGUAGCUGGUCUGAGAGGAUGGCCAGCCACAUUGGGACUGAGAUACGGCCCAGACUCCUACGGGAGGCAGCAGUGGGGAAUCUUGCGCAAUGGUCGAAAGACUGACGCAGCGACGCCGCGUGCGGGAGGAAGCCCUUCGGGGUGUAAACCGCUGUUACUCGGGACGAACUUCCCGAUUUAUCGGGAUGACGGUACCGGGGAGAGA